GCUUCCGUAGCUCAGUUGGUUAGAGCUUCGUACUAAUAUACGUUAGUAAUGCGAAGGUCGCAGGUUCAAGCCCUGCCGGGAGCA